GAAUGCUGACAUAAGUAACGAUAAAGCGGGUGAAAAGCCCGCUCGCCGGAAGACCAAGGGUUCCUGUCCAACGUUAAUCGGGGCAGGGUGAGUCGACCCCUAAGGCGAGGCCGAAAGGCGUAGUCGAUGGGAAACGGGUUAAUAUUCCCGUACUUGGUGUUACUGCGAAGGGGGGACGGAGAAGGCUAUGUUGGCCGGGCGACGGUUGUCCCGGUUUAAGCGUGUAGGCUGACUUUCCAGGCAAAUCCGGAGAGUCAAGGCUGAGGCGUGAUGACGAGGCACCACGGUGCUGAAGCAACAAAUGCCCUGCUUCCAGGAAAAGUCUCUAAGCAUCAGGUAACAUCAAAUCGUACCCCAAACCGACACAGGUGGUCAGGUAGAGAAUACCAAGGCGCUUGAGAGAACUCGGGUGAAGGAACUAGGCAAAAUGGUGCCGUAACUUCGGGAGAAGGCACGCUGACACGUAGGUGAAGUGGUUUAC
rnacentral:rRNA from 1 species